rnacentral:rRNA from 1 species
AUUGAACGCUGGCGGCAGGCUUAACACAUGCAAGUCGAACGGUAACAGGGAGAAACUUGUUUCUCUGCUGACGAGUGGCGGACGGGUGAGUAAUGCUUGGGAAUCUGCCUUAUGGAGGGGGAUAACCACUGGAAACGGUGGCUAAUACCGCGUAAUAUCUUCGGAUUAAAGUGUGGGACUUUCGAGCCACACGCCAUAAGAUGAGCCCAAGUGAGAUUAGGUUGUUGGUGAGGUAAUGGCUCACCAAGCUUACGAUCUCUAGCUGGUUUGAGAGGAUGACCAGCCACACUGGGACUGAGACACGGCCCAGACUCCUACGGGAGGCAGCAGUGGGGAAUAUUGCACAAUGGGCGCAAGCCUGAUGCAGCCAUGCCGCGUGAAUGAAGAAGGCCUUAGGGUUGUAAAGUUCUUUCAUUAGUGAGAAAGCGGUUAUAUCUAAUAGGUGUAACCAUUGAUGUUAGCUAAAGAAGAAGCACCGGCUAACUCCGUGCCAGCAGCCGCGGUAAUACGGAGGGUGCGAGCGUUAAUCGGAAUGACUGGGCGUAAAGGGCACGCAGGCGGUUAUUUAAGUCAGAUGUGAAAGCCCCGAGCUUAACUUGGGAAUUGCAUUUGAUACUGGGUAACUAGAGUCCUCUAGGGAGGGGUAGAAUUCCAUGUGUAGCGGUGAAAUGCGUAGAGAUGUGGAGGAAUACCGAAGGCGAAGGCAGCCCCUUGGAGAGAGACUGACGCUCAUGUGCGAAAGCGUGGGGAGCAAACAGG